UUACCAUGUCAGGGCUCACAGGGUUCCUAUGGGGUAGCACAGGGGAGCUAGCAAACACCCACGGCAGGAACACUGGGCUUAACAUACGAAGGAGUCCCUCAGUGAAGAAGCAUGUCUUAGCUUGAGUUUCAUUGCUGUGAAGAGACACCAUGACCAAGGCAACUCUUAUAAAGUUGGGGCUUCGUUACAAUUUCAGAGGUUCAGUCUAUUAUCAUCAUGGUGGGAAGUAUGGCGUCCUGAGGUAGACAGACUUGGUGCUGGAGGUGCUGAGAGUUCUACGUCUUGAUUCACAAGCAGCAGAAGGAGACUAUCUUCUGCAGGCGGCGAGCUGGGCAGAGCUUACACAUAGGACCUCAAAGCCUAUCCCACAUCAAUGAACUUCCUCAAGAAGGCCACUCCUACUCCAACAAGGCCACGACUCCUAAUACGUCACUUCCUUUGGGCCAAGCAUAGUCAAACCACCACAGAACACAGUUCUUUUAUUUCCCCCCAAUUUGGAGUGUCAUCGUCUCCAUGUGGAAGCCUUUGUGGAGGUGAAAAGACGCAGCCUGUCCCACUGCUUGAGGAAGCUCCGGCUAGAAGAGCCACACCCGUGACUAUGUAACCAUAGUGACGGUGAUUAAACCUCAUCCUAAUGAGUAGAAGCUAGAAAUGGAAGCUUAGGAAAAUGGCUGAAAAAAACCAUCAAUGCAGAGUGUUUCACAGGAGGAACUCAAAUCUUUAAUGAUGAGCAGCAAGCCUGCUUAAGGUUUGCCCCAGAAUGCUGGGGAUGGCUCGGUUCGUACAGUGUUUGUUGUCCAAGCAUAAAGUCCUGAGUUCAAUUCCCAGGUCCUACAGUUUCCCAGAUCCUUUACCUCAGGCCUGGUGGAGGAUAUGUGUAACCCCGGUAUUGGGCAGGCAGAGACAAGAGGAUCCUUGAGGCUUUCUGACCAGCCAGCCUAGCCCAUUUGCAUUCUGCACUGGCAAUCCCACAGUGAAAUUGGACAACAGGAGAAUGACCUGGAAGCUUUCUGUUCAGUCAGCUACCCCGGAACACUCGACACCCUGAUAACAAGAGAGACUUCACAAACAAGUUGGAUCGGAAGGACUGACUGCUAAAGUUGCCCUCCUCAGUGCACAGUGGAGUGGCAUGCAUGUCCCCUAACACAUGAAGUCUCCUUCAGCUUGGUUCCCAGUUGGUGGUCUGGGCACAGAGAAGUUAUUGGAUCCCAAGAGCUGCCUUUAUCCAUUGAGGAAUACGUCAGCGGCUUCAUGCUAUGGUGCUGUCACUGGAAGGAGAUGGCAAGUAGAAGGUGGAGCCUACUUCGAGGAUGGUUCAGAGUUUGGCUGUAAGUCAGGCUGCACAGCUUCCAUCAGUCUGGCCUCUCUCACCAUGUCAACACUGGCUUCGGUGCUCUGUUUUUUCUGUUGAGAAAGGGUCUCACAGAAUCCGGGUUUCACUGAUUGCUACAUGGACUGUCCAGUGAGCCAAGGGACUGGUCUCUGACACCACCCCCGGCCCUGCUGUCCCCAGCACUGUGCAUGGGGACUGUGCACGACUGUGCCAGGCUUCUCUAUGGGCGCUGAGGAUGCAAUCUCAGAUCUCCACACUUGCAUGACAGAGACUUUCCUGACUGAGCCAUCUCUCCAGGACAAGAGUGUGGAUUUGAAGGACUUCACUCCAAUGAUGGGUCAUUGCAAAUUCAAGAUCUGCGGGGUACGGCAGCAGGCUGGAAAGACUUACUGUCCAAAUCCAGGGGAAAGGCUUCCAGAAUGAUGCUUUCUUGCUCAGGGAGGGAGUUUCCGUUUCUUUCUUUUUUUUUUUUUUUGGUUCUUUUUUUCGGAGCUGGGGACCGAACCCAGGGCCUUGCGCUUCCUAGGUAAGCACUCUAACCACUGAGCUAAAUCCCCAGCCCCGAGUUUCCGUUUCUAAUAUAGACUUCUGCUGCCUGGAGGAGGCCAUUUCUUAUGGGAGGACCCUAGAUUAGAUGGACAAUUUAAAGUUAAGUUUAACAACUCAAAGAUUAAUCCCACCCAAAAAUACCCUCAUAGAAACAUAAAAACUAAAUAUCCUGGCUCUGUAGCAGGCUGAUUUGACUCAUAAAAAUAAUCACCACCAUGGGCUGAUGCAGAGAACCAAAAAAGAAAGAGACCAAGCGACCACACUUGUAAAAUUCACAUCCUAACUGGGAGGUGAGUAUAAGGCAAACGAAGCCAUCGCCUUAAUGGUUUUUAAAUGUGCUGGCCAUCGAAAACCCCAAAUCAGCUUUCAGAGCUGUGCCUAGGGCAGUUGGUUUGGAGACAAAAAGAGUCUGAACUAUAGAGAAGUAUAGACAGGGUAGUCCAGAAGUCAAUUCUGGGUGUCUUCCUUAGUUGCUCCUCAUUUAUUUUAUUUAUUUGGUUGGUUGUUUUUUGUUUUCGAGACAGGAUUUCUCUGAAGCCCUGGCUGUCCUGGAAAUCUCUCUGUAGACCAGCUAGGCUCAAACUAAAAGAGGUCCACUUGCCUCUGCAGGGAUUGAAGAGUGUCCUGCCGCUGCCCGGCUGCAUCUUAGUUUUAACGCAGAUCUUUCACUGAACCUAGAACUUAUCCACUGGCUAGACUGACUGACUGAGGAGCUCCAGGGGACCCUCCUGGCUCCCCAGUGCUGGGGAUGUAGAUCUCUGGCUAGCUUUACAUGGGUGGUGGGGAAUGAAAACUCGGGUCCUCAGGCUUGCAUGGCAAGUAGUUUACUGACCGAGCCAUCUUCUCAGACUGUAAGAGGGGUGGGGGCCAGGGGGUGUCACCUUACUAGGAAGACUUACUUUGUUUCCUUCUGCAAUAGCUUGAAUGCUUGAGGGUUGUCUCAUUCUUGCUGAGGAAAACCCUCAUCUGGGAAGCCCAGCCCUGGGAUGUCCUGUGAGACAUGCGAGGGUGCUGGUAGGGAGAGAAGCAGGAUGUGCACCUAAUGAUGUGACUGGGACCCACGCAGGCCUGUGGUAGGAUGGCUAAGGCUCUGGCAUCCUAGAACUAGGCUUGGUUGAAUGCAGACUUGCAAGUGUCAGAGCUCUGGAGAAAGUCAUCUAAACUCAGUGAGAUCCUAUGCUGGUAACUGAGGAGAAGAGGUUGACAAACCAUGCUAUAUUUAUUCUUCUGGGUAUCUGUACCCAAAUGCCAUCAGUGUGGUGAUGGUAACACACCAGCAUUUUGGAUUAAGCAGCUCAGAAGUCCCAAGUGUGUCUGCUGAGGCUGAGACCAAGGUGCUCAUCCAUCCAUCCAUCCAUCCAUGCAUCCAUGCAUCCAUGCAUCCAUGCAUCCAUGCAUCCAUGCAUCCAUGUAUGUAUGCAUGUAUCUAUCUAUGUAUCUAUGUAUCUAUGUAUCUAUGUAUCUAUCUAUGUAUCUAUCUAUGUAUCUAUCUAUGUAUCUAUCUAUGUAUCUAUCUAUCUAUCUAUCUAUCUAUCUAUCUAUCUAUCUAUCUAUCUAUCUAUCUAUCUAUGUAUCUAUCUUCUAUCAUCUAUUUCAGCUCCCACCAUUUAUUGGCUUAUGGCUACAUUGGUUGAGUCCUCAUUUCACCAACUUAUUUCUUCUCUGGCCCUGUUCUCUCGUUCUCUUACAACCAUGCAGACCACAUUAGAGGCAGCUACACAAUUUGGACCACCAUCCAUUUUAGGGUUCUUGACUUAAUCACUUUGCAAAAUCUCUAUGGUUGUGCGAGGUGACACAGCUACAAAUGUGGAGGAUUAAGGAUGUGACCUUCUUUCUACAGAGACCGAUUAUUCUGCCUGUCACACCCAUCUCCCUCCCUAAUGAUCAGAAUGACCUGUGAUGAUGAUGAUGAUGAUGAUGAUGAUGAUGAUGGUAACUUACAGUGUAACACCUGCCCCAUGAGUUACAACUAUAGCUAGAUCAGCAAAGAUAGAAAUGACUUUCAUUAAAAACUUUCCAGGUUUUAAGCUGAGAGCAGCUUUGUGGGUAAUGAGUAGGAGAAGACUAACUUUUGAAUUUUUUGUCUUUUCUUUCUGGGUUCCUUUAAGAACAACUUUUAUUCCCAACAUGUGCCAUGAGCAUAGACAAAGGGGCCUGGAGAUUUCUAUACUCGAUUCAGAAACUGGGUACCAUGGAUCCCCCAAGCCUCUUCCCUCUAGUCCCUUGAUACUGGUCUGCUUUUCAGUUUGAUGAAAUUCCAGUCUUCCUGUUCUGUGGCCUUGGGUCUGCUAAGCCUUCUACCACCUGCCUAGAGUCUCUACUGCAAAAGAACAGUCCCAGGCUUAGACCUGACUAGAAGCCUCCCCUUCCAGCUAUCUUCCCUGCAGGCAGCUCCCAUCAAGGGUCACCCCAAAGUCAGCACCCAAUACUGCAGAGGCAUGGAACUGCUACCCUCCCAGGCACAGACCAUGGCAUCCCCUGAAACCUCAACGAUGACUUGUGUAUGGAAGGACCUUUUGGCUCCUUCAGAGGCAGUGGUUCUCAACCUGUGGGUUACGACCCCUUUGUGGAUGGAAUGACGUAUCACAGGGGUCAUACGUAUAUUAGAUAUCCUGCCUAUCAGAUAUACAGUAGCAAAAAUUCAUUUAUGAAGUAGCCACGGACAUAAUCUUAUGGCUGAAGGUUUAACCAAAACGUGAGGAACUGUAUUACAGGCUCACAGCAUUAGGAAAGCUGAGAACCACUGCUCUAAGGGGUGGCCACAUUUGGCCAGAUUCUAAAGUAGAACUGUGAACCUCAAGCUGUUCCCGGCCACAGGGGAACACAUUCCCACUUAAGUCCUUGCCCCUCAUAAAUCUUGCAGUUUCCUUGUUUAUCAAGAACUCGCCCCCCCCAAUCAUGUGACCGGGUGCAGCCCAGGGGAGGCUGCUGAUGCUUGUCUUAGAUGGGAGAGGUUCCUGCCCACUCUGAUUCUGAGGAAUAUAAUUGCCCAGCAAAGUCACUGCGUUGGCCCUUCAGCCGAUCACUGACUUACAGACCACAUUCAUUAUGUGAGGGCUUACACACAGAGGACCCGGGAGGGGGAUGCCUGGGCUUCACCGCAGAUGCACAUCGUCCCCCUGGUCCUGCCCUCUAUUAGAACACGGCUGGGCAGACCCCUCAGCCUUUCUCCUGGAAUUUGAAGGGAUCAGGAUGAAAGCUGAAGCUUAGGUUUUUGAGCAGAGGUAAUUUCAGAAGGUGGACUCAUAGCUCAAGGAACUCUGCUGGGAAUUUUCCUGAUGUAAAGCUAACAAGACAUUGUGAUAAUUUCUCUAGAGUUGGCCUCAUUCCAAGGUGGAUUUUAAACGCAGAUUAUAAAGCAAACACCAUCCCCCACAAGUAUUAAAGGAGGGGGAAAUAACAGAAUGGGGGCUGAAAAAAAAUGGUCUCUAUUGUGGGACCAAAAGCCGUCAAUCACGCAGGCUGACAGGCGUCAGAGAUUGACAGACAGGCCCUCGCUCCUGACUUCAGUUAUCAAGGGGAAUGGGAAAAGUGUCUGCAAGAACAUGUUAAAUUGCCAAAGUCAUUACCAGUCACCAAUUACCAAAGAAAAGAUAACAAGGUGUAUUUUAGAAAAAUCGAUGCAACAACAUGCAUUUCAAUACAGCAAGUUUUUUAGAACUUUCGAAAACAAAACGAACUAUUUAGGGAAUACACGACGGUUUUUCAGUGCAUACCAAACACUGGGCUUUGUAAAGUCAUCAAUAUUCACUUUAGAUUUGGCUGUGCUUUAGGGGAGCUGGGAUUAAGCACCAAUCUAAUGUACUUCAGCCUUUCCCCUGCACUUCCACCCAAAGGACGGAGCCAGGGAAGGCCUGCUUGAUUCCUAAAGAUCUCUUGGGACCCUGGGCAUGGCCGGGGCACAGGGUAAGUAGGCAGCUGCGUGCUGUCGAGCGGUGGGCACUGUUCUGCAGGAUGCUUCAUGUUUUAGCCAAUCCUCAUCCAUUCCUGCCCAGCCCCCAAAGAAGGGGAACUGCAGGACCUGGCUGCAACACCAGAUAGGGUGGCAGGGGGAGCGAGCGACACAAGCUCAACAGAUAAAGUGAGGCAGGACAGGAGGAUCCAGGAAAAUGACAAACGGAAGGGACACGGGGAGGGAGAGGAGUCCCCAUCCUGCAGUAUUGGGGGAGGCCACUGGCCAGCUAGGGACAGGAGCCCAGCACAGCCAAUGCUUGCCAAGAAGGUGGUGGACAUUGAAAUUAUAUUCUUCAUAUAUAGAUUUUUUUUCUUUAAGUGUUAAAGUAACAACAGAUUCGGCUUACACGCUGAAAAUGCAGGACCUCGGCUUUCUGAGGAUCUCCAACAAGAAGGUAGCUUGGUUUGCAGUGAAGACUUCCAACCUUCUUGAAUUCCUCUAACCCAUGCAUUAUAAUCCUGCCAGGUGGCCUCAGGAGUCAUCCUGCAAUCUCAUUUAGAUUCCUUCUGGCUCUCCGAAGACAGUGACUUUAAAAUUCACUAAAAUGGCAUCCGUGCCUAUUGUGCUGACAGUGAAGGGCUGGGAGAGAGCCUUGGAAAAGCCAUGCGCACACCACGGGGUGUGUCUUCUGUUUCGAGCAUCUUUCUCUUAGGAAACUACAUUAAAACGUCUUUCAAUGAAGCCCCAACUCUGCUUUACACCGGCUGCUUCGGAAAUUCUUUUCUCCCCAUCAAAGCCAAACAAUCCCAAGUCCGCCUGAGUUAAAAGGUCCAUAGAAGACUAAGACACCGCCUUCAGUACUGGGGGUGACAGCAUGGAUCUGUGACCCUCUCCUCAACACGGACAAAAGGCUAUCACAGCCAGAUGUGAACUACUGGAAAAGUCCAUCUCAGAUGCCACGGGACUAGAAGGGAGAGGCCAUGAUAGCUGGGGGGAGUUCGAGGAGGACUGGAGGGAUGGGAAAAGGACCAGGCUUUUAGUGAAUGAGAGGUUUAUAUUGAAGACGCAAACUCCUAAAGGACAUCUUCCCACCCUUCCAGCUGCUCAUGGCUCACAGAUGACAGGGACUCUCCAUUCCUGACAUGCAGUUCCUCCUCCCUGACUUCACAGGGAACAGGGAAGGAAGGUGGUGGCCCAGCCCUAUUUUUUUGGAGCAGUGGUCAUCCCUUCCUUCAUGCCAUUAACCUGAGGGGACAACCUGCUUCCCCAGCAGGAGGUCUGUGCUGGCCAAGUGGCCUGAGACCAGAGGAGGGAGCCUGACAUCACCAUUUCGAGGAGACUUCAGUCAGCCUUAGAGGAGCCAGGCCUGGUACCACUGUGAUUCUCCACUCAAAGCUGAAUGUGGCUCUCACACUCCAAAAAUCCCUCUGUGUGUAAAUUAAACAGAGCCCGGGGGAUUUCAGAAUUGGCAUGGCGUUGGCAGGGGUGAGGGCGGCACAGACCACUGGGUGAGCGUGGCCGAGAACGUAGUAGGAGAAAAAGCAGCAUUUAGGAGUGAAUUUGACUGUCUGUGUUUGUCUGAGGCAGUUUUUUCCCCCCAAUCUCACAAACUUCUUAGGGGGGGACGAUUUAGAAAUUAAUUAUUAGAACUCCACAGUAUUAAUAUAUUAAAAUAAAUGUCAUCACCGCAUUAAGGUAAUGGAUUACAUACAACAAUAGGAACCAAACUAAAUUUUGGCAAACACACACACACACACACACACACACACACACACACACACACACACACACACUGGGCCUAUCAAUGUGUAUUACAUCUCCAUCUCUUCACACUGUACCUGCAUGCCUUUACCCACACGAACUUCAUUUCCAUAUAUUUUUCUCAGCCAACGGCUGAUGUGACUCCCAUCAGUCCAGGUGAGCAUGGUCUGUUCUGGAGCACAGCACACAUUGCCUUUAUAGUAGCUUCUAUGUAUCUGAUUUCUCCAUUGCUACAUGUUGGCUCAUUUCAGUUGUGCGUAUUGUAUCUCAGUUUCUCCACUUACCUACUGAUGGACCCUUGGGGUAUUUCCAAUGGUUUUCUUUUUGAGUUCAGGUCUCACCUUGAACUUGACUGUCUUUAAAAUUGACAGCCUCCUGCCUCAGUUUCCCAAACACUGGUAUUGCUGAUAUGUUGUACCGUGCCUUUAAUUAGAUUUUCAUUUGCAUUGCCUUGGAGACACACACACACACACACACACACACACACACACACACACACACGUGUGAUAUAUGAUAUACAUAUCAUAAGAAGAUAGAUAUCAUUGUAGUGUGUGUGUGCACGUGCGUGUAUGUGUGUGUGCGUGUGUGUGUGCUUGAUCAAAUCUUUUACGUCUUUGUAGUUUCUUUAUCAAGUUGCAGAUGCUCUUUUUAUAUCCCAGAUAGAAGUCCCUUAGACAGUUACACACCCUUAUGGCUUAGAGUUUUAAAAUCCACUUUUUCUCUGAGCCUGCAAGCUGUUCUCUCCAUGGUGUGAAGCAUCGACUGAGGGGAAGUGGUCGUUCCAUCGCCGCUGAAUCCCAUCACAGCUGCCGAGGAGAGCAGGUCAUCACACAGCCACAGCUGAGGAGAGCCACUCUGGUCAGCCCGGCAGUGCCUGUUAUCAUCUUAGUCGUCUUGUCAAAAAAUCAACCAUACGUAUUUUUAGCUUGUAAUUUAAUUUAAUUUAAUUAUUCUGUAUGUGAGUAUGUGCAAGUGAGUGCAGUCCCCGUGGAGGCCAGAAGAGGGCAUCAGAUGCCCUGGAACUGGAGUCAUGGGUGGUUUUUAAGUCACCACACACAGGUGCUGGGAGUCAAAUCCUGGUUCUCCAAGAGAUCAGCAAGCACCCCUAACUGCUAAGUUGCCUCUUCAGUCCCAAGUGAACACAUUUGCAUAGAUCCAUUUUCUUGACUCUCUUCUGCUCCAUUGACUUCUCUAUGUAUCCCAUGCAAGCACCUCAUUGUCUCGGUUAUAAUUUGCUUUAUAAUAAGCUUUGAGAAUAAGUAGUCAAGCCCUCAAACAUCAGAACACCAUGCGCUGUGUCACCUGGGAUUGCUGGAAAUAAAUGUGCUUGGAUUAAAGGUCUAAUAAAUCGUUUACAUCAGC